rnacentral:rRNA from 1 species
AUAUGUCAGCGGCAGACGGGUGAGUAACGCGUGGGAACGUACCUUUUGGUUCGGAACAACUGAGGGAAACUUCAGCUAAUACCGGAUAAGCCCUUACGGGGAAAGAUUUAUCGCCGAAAGAUCGGCCCGCGUCUGAUUAGCUAGUUGGUGAGGUAAUGGCUCACCAAGGCGACGAUCAGUAGCUGGUCUGAGAGGAUGAUCAGCCACAUUGGGACUGAGACACGGCCCAAACUCCUACGGGAGGCAGCAGUGGGGAAUAUUGGACAAUGGGCGCAAGCCUGAUCCAGCCAUGCCGCGUGAGUGAUGAAGGCCCUAGGGUUGUAAAGCUCUUUUGUGCGGGAAGAUAAUGACGGUACCGCAAGAAUAAGCCCCGGCUAACUUCGUGCCAGCAGCCGCGGUAAUACGAAGGGGGCUAGCGUUGCUCGGAAUCACUGGGCGUAAAGGGUGCGUAGGCGGGUCUUUAAGUCAGGGGUGAAAUCCUGGAGCUCAACUCCAGAACUGCCUUUGAUACUGAAGAUCUUGAGUUCGGGAGAGGUGAGUGGAACUGCGAGUGUAGAGGUGAAAUUCGU